UCUUCCUCUCCUCCGAGUCAGAGUACCCUGGAGGGAUAAUGCUCUGCAGCACUGGCUAGAACUUCCAUCCCUGUGGUGAAUAAGAGUGAUGAAAGUGGACACCAUCGUAUUAUUGAAUUGAAGGGGUAACACGCUGGCUGCCUUUGUCCUGCCAGAAACUCCUCAAGGCUUACCCUACUGCAGACCACACCAGGCUACAGACCCUGAUCAGGAGAACUCCAUCCCACCAGGUCCCUACUGUCUCAGCAGUCAGAGCCC
rnacentral:lncRNA from 10 species